UAGCUGGCCUUACCGCCACAGAAGGCGAA
rnacentral:sRNA from 1 species